GACAGAGGGGGCAAGCGUUGCUCGGAAUUACUGGGCGUAAAGGGCGCGUAGGCGGGAUGGCAAGUCGGUCGUGAAAUCCCUCGGCUCAACCGAGGAACGUCGAUCGAUACUGCUGUUCUUGAGGAUUGCAGAGGAGAUUGGAAUUCCCGGUGUAGCGGUGAAAUGUGUAGAGAUCGGGAGGAACACCGGUGGCGAAGGCGGGUCUCUGGGCAAUUCCUGAUGCUGAGGCGCGAAAGCGUGGGGAGCGAACAGG
rnacentral:rRNA from 1 species